GACGAACGCUGGCGGCGUGCUUAACACAUGCAAGUCGAACGGUGAUGCUCCAGCUUGCUGGAGUGGAUCAGUGGCGAACGGGUGAGUAACACGUGAGCAAUCUGCCCCUGACUCUGGGAUAAGCGCUGGAAACGGCGUCUAAUACUGGAUACGAGCUGCGAAGGCAUCUUCAGCAGCUGGAAAGAACUUCGGUCAGGGAUGAGCUCGCGGCCUAUCAGCUUGUUGGUGAGGUAACGGCUCACCAAGGCGUCGACGGGUAGCCGGCCUGAGAGGGUGACCGGCCACACUGGGACUGAGACACGGCCCAGACUCCUACGGGAGGCAGCAGUGGGGAAUAUUGCACAAUGGGCGAAAGCCUGAUGCAGCAACGCCGCGUGAGGGACGACGGCCUUCGGGUUGUAAACCUCUUUUAGCAGGGAAGAAGCGAAAGUGACGGUACCUGCAGAAAAAGCGCCGGCUAACUACGUG
rnacentral:rRNA from 1 species